rnacentral:rRNA from 1 species
UACGAAGGGGGCUAGCGUUGCUCGGAAUGACUGGGCGUAAAGGGCGCGUAGGCGGCUCAUACAGUCAGAUGUGAAAUUCCUGGGCUUAACCUGGGGGCUGCAUUUGAUACGUGUGGGCUUGAGUGGGGAAGAGGGUCGUGGAAUUCCCAGUGUAGAGGUGAAAUUCGUAGAUAUUGGGAAGAACACCGGUGGCGAAGGCGGCGACCUGGUCUUUGACUGACGCUGAGGCGCGAAAGCGUGGGGAGCAAACAGG